UACGGAGGGUGCAAGCGUUGUCCGGAUUUACUGGGCGUAAAGAGCGCGCAGGCGGUCGUUCAAGUCGCGUGUGAAAGCCCCCGGCUCAACUGGGGAGGGUCACGCGAUACUGAUCGACUCGAAGGCAGGAGAGGGUAGUGGAAUUCCCGGUGUAGUGGUGAAAUGCGUAGAUAUCGAGAGGAACACCUGAGGUGAAGACGGGUUGCUGGGCCGACACUGACGCUGACAGCGCGAAAGCCAGGGGAGCAAACAGG
rnacentral:rRNA from 1 species